ACGACGCCCAGCCGGGAGCCCAAAGCAAAGAGGGAUUCAGGAGCAGCCCAGCUACCGCUUGGUUCCCACAAAAUGGUCACCUUGGAACUCUUUAUGGAAGAGGAGAAAACACCACCACCACCACCACCACUGUUUCAUAACCCUGCACUGAAUGUGGACACAACAACCAACCACCCCCAAAAGGAAACUCUGGCAGGGUACAUGUAUCAAACCUAUGGCAUUGGUCAGGUAUUUUGGAUCAGUAAGUGAGGUUGUACUUUUGACUGGUAAGUGUACAUCUAAAUCCCUCGGAGGGGAUUUUCUUCUCCGAGGUCACUCCAACCUGAAUUGUUGGCCCAUGGGGACAUGUGUUGUCCCUAUUGGUUGUAUUGAUGUAGUCUCUUUGGGCCAGUGAAGUAAAGCUCCAUAGGGUCUUGUCCUUUUCCCACCUCUUCAUGGGAAGGUCCAUUUCACUGAUUGGAAGAGACAGUAAAACCCUUGUGUGGCCAUUCAUAUGAGUCACUAUUUAUGGAACAAGUGAUUGUGCUCCUUUGCACGGUCAGGAGACCACUGCCAUUUCACGAAUGUCCCUGGGCAGGCAGGGCCUCUAAAACUAGAAAUGCGAGAGGUUAUUUUACUGUUAAAUAGGUGGGGUUUGUAUUCACUGACUUCCUUUUCUUUUCAUCUUUCCUUGAUUGCCUAUCUGUGUUUGGUCAACAAUUGGUUUGAUAUUGACUUUACAGUUAGGUUAUGUUUAUCUUAUUGUUAACUAUCCAUGGUUAUCCACUCUGAUAGAAGCUUAUGCAAGUACAAAUAUUUCUUGUUGCACAUACUAGCAUUAUUGCUUCUAUUGUGAAGUUCACCCAGUCUUAACUUAGGAGUUGGUUGUCUAUUUUUGAUACUCAGAUCUUAAGAUCAUAUACCAGUGCCUGAGCCCUACUACAAAUGUUCAUUGCCGCAUCACUAACAGUGAUUCGCCUACAGUACGUGAAUCAUAUUUUUUGACCUUCAAGGACAGGCUUGAUACCCUCACAUCGGCAAUGCAGGGGUCUGACACUUGCAGCCCUUCUGUGGCCAUGUAGAUACGUCACGCCUGUGCCCCUUCCUGGGCCCUGUAGGGGCGAGCCACCUGUGCCCCUUCAUGGUCUAUGUAGGGGUGUGCCACCAUCACACAUGUAUGCCACACAUGGCCACUAUAGUGUUUGUACUAGCUGUGGUUUCCAGGACCCACCUGGGGUCUCCGGACAUAUGCCCAUGGAUAACAGGGAGCUUCUGUAGUCACGUUCCUCUGCAUUACAUCUCCCCACAAGACCCUUAUCUCCAGAUAAAUAUUACAAGAUCAGGAGCCACUUUUUGUGUGCUUUCUUGUUAGUGGAAACAUCUUGCCUUUGCUUAGCACAGCCACUUUGCCCUCUCCACCAUCUCCUGGAGGUUCCCUUACCCUUGCACUGCUCUUCACUCACUGCUUUUGGGUGUGCUGUCUGCCUCCUGUCAUAGUCCUGCACCAAUGGUAAUUUGUACCAUGAGCGGUCGCAGGAAACCGCUUGGAACUGGGACUCUGGGACUGGACUGCUCUUCCAGUAGAAGACAUACAAGUAGCUUCCUUUAUGGCAGAAUUGGAUACUGGUCAUUGGUGGUAAGAGGUGAUUUCACAUUUGCUCACUUUACCACUAGUGCUGAUGCGGAGUGAUGGAGGACAGCACGCUGGAGUAUUGCAGGUGGAAUUGUCACUGUGGCCAUGGGGGCAGUUACAGACCCUGUCCAGGGUCAGUUUUGGGUGUCUGGAGUAUACGCAGGAAAUAGGAGAGGUUGAAAGCAAGAGAAAAACACCAGAAAACAUAUGACUUCAUGAGGCUUGAGUCUUCCCUCUACCUCUAUAGUCCAAGUUCGUGGAUGGCACUGGAAUUACAUCCUUAGCAUGCGCAUCAUAACCUCCAGGUGAGGAUGAAAAGAGAAAUCCGCACCCCAGAAGACAGCUCUCACCAGAACCUGACCAACAUGCUCCUUGAUCUUGGACUCGUAGACUCCAGAACUUUGAGAA